CAUGUACUCCCUCCAACCGAAAAAACUUGUCCCUCAAAUGGAUGUAUCUAGCACCAAGUUAGUGCUAGAUACAUCCAUUUGAAAGAUAAGCUUGGGACAAGCUUUUCCGGAUGAAGAGAGUAUUUA
rfam:Triticum aestivum genome assembly, contig: Triticum_aestivum_CS42_TGACv1_scaffold_472365_6AL